rnacentral:lncRNA from 1 species
AUGAGGCGAGCCACGCUGCAGAAGGGAGGCAAGGUGGGCUCUUCCAUUCCGGCACCCCGCAGAGGGGCUCCGGGGUGGCCUCCCGCCCCCGGCGCGCGCCUCACCGGCCACCUCCGGUGCUCCGCCCGCAGAACCCCUUUACCUCGGCAGGCGGCCAGCAGGGAAGGAGGCAGGUCUCCCGCCCCGCCGGGAAGGCGAAGCCGCGGCGCCGGGCCAGCUCCGGGAAGGGGCCCUCGCUCGCCCGCGCCCGCGCCCGCCGACGCCGCCCCCCCGGCUCCGGGCUCCGGCUCGGGCUCCGGCUCCGGCUCGGGCUCCGGGCUCCGUUCCGCCGUCGCCCCCCCGACGGCCGGCGCGAAGGGCAUCCGCGCCCCGACAGCCUGCGCCCUCGCAGCCGCCGCCGCUGUUGCUAGCGCACGGGUCUGGCGGGGAGCGGAACUUCCUCCUCGCGCGGCCACUGAGAAGCCCCGGCGUGUGCGGGGGGAGGGGAGGGAGGGGAGGGGAGGGGAGGGGAGCGGAGGCGCGGCGGCCGCCCCCGCCCGGCUCCUCCUCCCGCCGCCGCCGGAGCUAACCCCGCCGCCCGCCGCCCGGACGCGGCCGCCGCUGACCCCGCCGCGCCCCGCCUCGGCGGCCCGGCCCCCGCGGCUCCGAGGCGUGGGAAGAAGCCGAGCCGCGGCCCCGCGGCCCGAGAGCCCGGGGCAGGCGCCUGCUCAUUCCUCGCUCGGCGCUGAGGGGGCGGCGGCGGCGGCGGCGGCCCCGGGCGCGCAGGAGCGGCCGCGCCUCGGCCGGGCAGAGGUCGGCGGCGGCCCCGGACCCGGCCCCGGCCCCGCCGGCCUGCGCGGGGGCCUCCUCGGCGCCGCCUCGGGUCGCCCUCAGCGGCGGGCGCGGGAGAGGCGGGUGCGGGAGAGGCGGCGCGGGGCUGCGGCCCGGUCCUCGGCCCUCGGCCCCUGCCUCCCAGGCCCGCCGGGCGCACACCGCCGAGGGCCGACGCCCGUUGCGCGCAGCCUGCACGGGGCCGGGGAAGCGGGCGGGGGCGGGGGCGGGUGGCGCGGGCCGGCCUGCGCCCCGACCCGCCAGUGGGCGUCCCCGGGCGCCGAGGGUGAGGUGCGCGCGCACGCUCGCGGCCCCGCCCCGCCUGCCCGCCCGGCCCGCGCUCCGGCCUCGCGCCGCUGUGGGCUCCGCCGCCCCCCGGGGCCCCCCAGCUCCCCGCAGCCGGCUCGGCCGCUGCCAGCGCCAGUUAGCGGCGUGGACCCGGGCCUGGGGGGCGGGGGCGGGGGGCGGGCCCGGGGCGCAAAGGCCUCGCCGCAGUUGAGGCGCCGCUCAGUGACCCGGCUCUGGCCUCGAGCCCUGCUGGGUGGGCGCCUCCGCCUCCGCCUCCGCCUCCGCGGGACACGCUCGGUCCCCAGAGCGCCACGGCCGCGCCGCCCUCGCCUCGCCUCGCCUCGCCUCGCCUCGCCUCUGCUCGGGCGUGUUCCGUGCAGCCGCGUGCACGCCGCUGGGCGCCCGGGCGAGCAUCCCUGGGAGCGUCGACCACAGGCCCGCCCCGCUCUGUGCUAA